AGAGCUUUAGAUCAGGGAUGCCUAUCACAUUAUGAGAAUCGAUCCCACAAUUGAGGUAAUUACAACUCUUUCUAUAAUUCUUAGAUUAGGAAUAGAUGAUGUUAGUAGGAUUGGCUUAGAUUUGGAAUAUGUACUAGAAUCUUAGCCAAUGGUCAAACAGAUCUGGAGUUCUAUUCUUAAUAUAAAACUUUUCUUAAAUGAUUAAUUUUGAGUGGGCCCU
rnacentral:lncRNA from 1 species